rnacentral:rRNA from 1 species
UACGUAGGGGGCAAGCGUUGUCCGGAAUCAUUGGGCGUAAAGAGCGUGUAGGCGGCUCGGUAAGUCUGCUGUGAAAGUCCAGGGCUCAACCCUGGAAUGCCGGUGGAAACUGUCGAGCUAGAGUCCGGAAGAGGCGAGUGGAAUUCCUGGUGCAGCGGUGAAAUGCGCAGAUAUCAGGAGGAACACCGAUGGCGAAGGCAGCUCGCUGGGACGGUACUGACGCUGAGACGCGAAAGCGUGGGGAGCAAACAGG